AGCGAACGCUGGCGGCAGGCCUAACACAUGCAAGUCGAACGAACUCUUCGGAGUUAGUGGCGGACGGGUGAGUAACACGUGGGAACGUGCCUUUUGGUUCGGAAUAACUCAGGGAAACUUGUGCUAAUACCGAAUGUGCCCUUCGGGGGAAAGAUUUAUCGCCAUUAGAGCGGCCCGCGUCUGAUUAGCUAGUUGGUGAGGUAACGGCUCACCAAGGCGACGAUCAGUAGCUGGUCUGAGAGGAUGACCAGCCACACUGGGACUGAGACACGGCCCAGACUCCUACGGGAGGCAGCAGUGGGGAAUCUUGCGCAAUGGGGGAAAGCCUGACGCAGCCAUGCCGCGUGAAUGAUGAAGGUCUUAGGAUUGUAAAAUUCUUUCACCGGGGACGAUAAUGACGGUACCCGGAGAAGAAGCCCCGGCUAACUUCGUG
rnacentral:rRNA from 1 species